UUGUUGCCAGCGGUCCGGCCGGGAACUCAAAGGAGACUGCCAGUGAUAAACUGGAGGAAGGUGGGGAUGACGUCAAGUCAUCAUGGCCCUUACGAGUAGGGCUACACACGUGCUACAAUGGCGCAUACAAAGAGAAGCGACCUCGCGAGAGCAAGCGGACCUCAUAAAGUGCGUCGUAGUCCGGAUUGGAGUCUGCAACUCGACUCCAUGAAGUCGGCCGUAGUCGCAGAAUGCUACGGUGAAUACGUUCCCGGGCCUUGUACACCCCCCGUCACACCAUGGGAGUGGGUUGCAAAAGAAGUAGGUAGCUUAACCUUCGGGAGGGCGCUUACCACUUUGUGAUUCAUGACUGGGGUGAAGUCGUAACAAGGUAACCGUAGGGGAACCUGCGGUUGGAUCACCUCCUUACCUUAAAGAA
rnacentral:rRNA from 2 species